rnacentral:lncRNA from 1 species
CCCCUCCGAAUUCACUAGGGCAUCCUUCUUCUCUUUUCUCUCAUUCAAAAUAAAAGAAAAAAAGAAUCUUUUUUUUUGCUUUAUUAUUCUCAUGGAGUUUUCGAUAUUGUUCAACUAUUGCAAAGGAAGAUUUCCGAUUUCUUGGGUGAUUGCGGUCAUGCUACAAUGAGCUUUGGUAAACAAUAUAAUCAUUGUCGAUCCUGUUUAAUUUGGCAAGUCUAUUUGUGCUACACGGGAGUCCAUUUCCCCUAUAUGGAAUGGGCUAAGCUUUUGGUGCAAGUUUCUAGCUGGGCCUGGGCUCAAUCUCUGGUCNNNN